GCGUCGCUGGUUCAGUGGUAGAAUACUCGCCUGCCACGCGGGUGACCCGGGUUCGAUUCCCGGCCGACGCA
rnacentral:tRNA from 1 species